AACUAGCCCCGAUUGUAGCGGUUACCCCGCAGUUGGACCGGAAAGCUGCCGGGUUUCUGCUGCUGGCAAGUAUUGGCACGAGGAGUAUGAGCGGAAAGCGGGAUUAAGC
rnacentral:misc_RNA from 1 species